GUGGGGAAUAUUGGACAAUGGGCGCAAGCCUGAUCCAGCAAUGCCGCGUGAAUGAUGAAGGCCUUAGGGUUGUAAAGUUCUUUCGUCGGGGACGAUGAUGACGGUACCCGAAGAAGAAGCCCCGGCUAACUUCGUGCCAGCAGCCGCGGUAAUACGAAGGGGGCUAGCGUUGUUCGGAAUUACUGGGCGUAAAGGGCGCGUAGGCGGCCAUUCAAGUUAGAUGUGAAAGCCCUGGGCUCAACCUAGGAAUUGCAUUUGAUACUGUUUGGCUUGAGUUCGGGAGAGGUGAGUGGAAUUCCCAGUGUAGAGGUGAAAUUCGUAGAUAUUGGGAAGAACACCAGUGGCGAAGGCGGCUCACUGGACCGACACUGACGCUGAGGCGCGAAAGCGUGGGGAGCAAACAGGAUUAGAUACCCUUGUAGUCC
rnacentral:rRNA from 1 species